GACGAACGCUGGCGGCGUGCUUAACACAUGCAAGUCGAACGAAGUGGCGAACGGGUGAGUAAUACGUGGGUAACCUGCCCUCCUUUUUGGGAUAAGCCUUGGAAACGGGGUCUAAUACCGAAUAAAGGGGGAUGGGCUCGCGGCCUAUCAGCUUGUUGGAGGGGUGAUGGCCUACCAAGGCGGUGACGGGUAGCCGGCCUGAGAGGGUGACCGGCCAGACUGUGACUGAGAUACGGACCAGACUCCUACGGGCGGCAGCCGUGGGGGAGAUUGCACAAUGGGGGAAAGCCUGAUGCGGCGAGGCGGCGGGGGGGAUGAAGGCUUUCGGGUCGUAAACCUCUUUCGCUACCGAACGGGUAGGUGGAGAAGAAGCGCCGGCUAACUACGUGCCAGCAGCCGCGGUAAUUC
rnacentral:rRNA from 1 species